rnacentral:misc_RNA from 1 species
UUUCCGUAGGUGAACCUGCGGAAGGAUCAUUAUUGAAUAAACCUGAUGUGACUGUUAGCUGGCUUUUCGGAGCGUUUGCUCGUACGUCAUCUUUAAUCGCUCCACCUGUGCACAUUUUGUAGUCUUUGAUACCUCUCGAGGCAACUCGGAGUUUAGGAUCGCCGUGCUGCACAAGUCGGCUUUACUUUCAUUUCCAAGUCUAUGUUUUUAUAUACACCAAAGUAUGUUUCAAGAAUGUCAUCAAUAGGAACUUGUUUCCUAUAAGAUUAUACAACUUUCAGCAACGGAUCUCUUGGCUCUC